UAAGCCAUGCGAGUUGAGAGGGGUAAGCCCUCGGCAUAUGCUCAGUAACACGCGGAUAUGCCCUUGGGUUCGGGAUAACCCCGGGAAACUGGGACUAAUACCGGAUAGAUCAAAGAAACUGGAAUGUUCUCUGGUCAAAAACUCUGGUGCCCAAGGAUGGGUCUGCGGCCUAUCAGGUAGUAGUGGGUGUAACGUACCUACUAGCCUACGACGGGUAAGGGUUGUGAGAGCAAGAGCCCUGAGAUGGAUUCUGAGACAUGAAUCCAGGCCCUACGGGGUGCAGCAGGCGCGAAAACUUUACACUGCGGGAAACCGCGAUAAGGGGACCCCGAGUGCCAGCACCUAGUGCUGGCUGUCCAGCUGUCCAAAUAACAGUUGUUAGCAAGGGCCGGGCGAGACCGAUGCCAGCCGCCGCGGUAACACCGGCGGCCCGAGUGGUAGCCGUUAUUAUUGGGUUUAAAGGGUCCGUAGCCGGCCUAUUAAGUCUCUUGGGAAAUCUGGCGACUCAAUCGUCAGGCGUCCAAGAGAUACUGGUAGGCUUGGGACCGGGAGAGGUGGGAGGUACUCCAGGGGUAGGGGUGAAAUCUCGUAAUCCUUGGGGGACCACCGAUGGCGAAGGCAUCCCACCAGAACGGGUCCGACGGUGAGGGACGAAAGCUGGGGGCACGAACCGGAUUAGAUACCCGGGUAGUCCCAGCCGUAAACGAUGCUCGCUAGGUGUCAGGUGCGGUGCGACCGCAUCUGGUGCCGCAGUGAAAACUUGAAGCGAGUCACCUGGGAAGUACGGUCGCAAGGCUGAAACUUAAAGGAAU
rnacentral:rRNA from 1 species